rnacentral:rRNA from 1 species
ACUCCUAAUUUUACACUGAGCCACACUAUAAUAAUAGACGUACUUAUGUUAAAACUAGUAACAAGAAAAAUUCUCUACAGCAUACCCGUGCAUCAGCAAUAGAAAGCCUACUGACAAUUAACAGACCAAAACAAGUCCAUACCCCCCCCCGGUAUUAAAAAACUGUCACACCAACACCGGAGCGCUACAAAGAAAGAUUAAAAGCUGUAGAAGGAACUCAGCAAACCUUGUCCCAACUGUUUACCAAAAACAUAGCCUUUAGCAAUAAAAGUAUUAAAGGUCCCGCCUGCCCAGUGAAAUUAUUUCAACGGCCGCGGUAUUCUAACCGUGCAAAGGUAGCGUAAUCACUUGUCUCCUAAAUAGGGACCAGUAUGAAUGGCUAAAUGAGGACAAACCUGUCUCCUACAACUAAUCAGUGAAACUGAUCUACCAGUACAAAAGCUGGUAUAUACCCAUAAGACGAGAAGACCCUGUGGAGCUUUAAACCACUCACUAAUAAUAAACAUUAUAUAGUAGCAGGUUUUGAGUUGGGGCGACUUCGGAACAAAACAAAACUUCCGAGCAAAGAACUACCAAUUCUAACCAAGGCCAACAAGCCAAGGCACAAAUCGACCCAGUCAUACUGAUCAACGAACCAAGUUACCCCAGGGAUAACAGCGCCAUCUUCUUCAAGAGUCCCUAUCGACAAGAAGGUUUACGACCUCGAUGUUGGAUCAGGACACCCAAAUGGUGAAGCCGCUAUUAAAGGUUCGUUUGUUCAACGAUUAACAGU